rnacentral:rRNA from 1 species
GUGCCAGCCGCUGCGGUAAUACGGAGGGUGCAAGCGUUAAUCGGAAUUACUGGGCGUAAAGCGCACGCAGGCGGUCUGUCAAGUCGGAUGUGAAAUCCCCGGGCUCAACCUGGGAACUGCAUUCGAAACUGGCAGGCUAGAGUCUUGUAGAGGGGGGUAGAAUUCCAGGUGUAGCGGUGAAAUGCGUAGAGAUCUGGAGGAUACCGGUGGCGAAGGCGGCCCCUGGACAAAAGACUGACGCUCAGGUGCGAAAGCGUGGGGAGCAAACAGGAUUAGAUACCCUGGUAGUCCACGCCGUAAACGAUGUCGA